CAGAUGAAGUGCUUGCACUUCUGACGUUAGCGGCGAACGGGUGAGUAACACGUAAGGAAUCUACCUAUAAGCGGGGGAUAACAUUCGGAAACGGGUGCUAAUACCGCAUAAUAUCUUCUUCCGCAUGGAAGAAGAUUGAAAGACGGCUCUGCUGUCACUUAUAGAUGACCUUGCGGUGCAUUAGUUAGUUGGUGGGGUAACGGCCUACCAAGACGAUGAUGCAUAGCCGACCUGAGAGGGUGAUCGGCCACAUUGGGACUGAGACACGGCCCAAACUCCUACGGGAGGCAGCAGUAGGGAAUCUUCCGCAAUGGGCGAAAGCCUGACGGAGCAAUGCCGCGUGAGUGAAGAAGGCCUUCGGGUCGUAAAACUCUGUUAUAAGAGAAGAACAAAUUGUAGAGUAACUGCUACAGUCUUGACGGUAUCUUAUCAGAAAGCCACGGCUAACUACGUGCCAGCAGCCGCGGUAAUACGUAGGUGGCAAGCGUUGUCCGGAUUUAUUGGGCGUAAAGGGAGCGCAGGUGGUUUCUUAAGUCUGAUGUGAAAGCCCACGGCUUAACCGUGGAGGGUCAUUGGAAACUGGGAAACUUGAGUACAGAAGAGGAAUGUGGAACUCCAUGUGUAGCGGUGGAAUGCGUAGAUAUAUGGAAGAACACCAGUGGCGAAGGCGACAUUCUGGUCUGUUACUGACACUGAGGCUCGAAAGCGUGGGGAGC
rnacentral:rRNA from 1 species